GUGGAUUAGAUACCCUGGUAGUCCACGCCGUAAACGAUGGGCACUAGGUGUGGGGGGUGUCGACUCCCUCCGUGCCGAAGCUAACGCAUUAAGUGCCCCGCCUGGGGAGUACGGCCGCAAGGCUAAAACUCAAAGGAAUUGACGGGGGCCCGCACAAGCAGCGGAGCAUGUGGUUUAAUUCGACGCAACGCGAAGAACCUUACCUGGGCUUGACAUGUGGAUGACCGGCCUGGAAACAGGUCUUCCCUUCGGGGCAUCUUCACAGGUGGUGCACGGCCGUCGUCAGCU
rnacentral:rRNA from 1 species